CAGCAGCCGCGGUAAUACGAAGGGGGCUAGCGUUGUUCGGAAUUACUGGGCGUAAAGGGCGCGUAGGCGGCCAUUCAAGUUAGAUGUGAAAGCCCUGGGCUCAACCUAGGAAUUGCAUUUGAUACUGUUUGGCUUGAGUUCGGGAGAGGUGAGUGGAAUUCCCAGUGUAGAGGUGAAAUUCGUAGAUAUUGGGAAGAACACCAGUGGCGAAGGCGGCUCACUGGACCGACACUGACGCUGAGGCGCGAAAGCGUGGGGAGCAAACAGGAUUAGAUACCCGCGUAGUCCCUGUCUCUUAUAC
rnacentral:rRNA from 1 species